rnacentral:rRNA from 1 species
AACGAAGGGUGCAAGCGUUACUCGGAAUUACUGGGCGUAAAGCGUGCGUAGGUGGUUGUUUAAGUCUGUUGUGAAAGCCCUGGGCUCAACCUGGGAAUUGCAGUGGAUACUGGGCGACUAGAGUGUGGUAGAGGGUAGUGGAAUUCCCGGUGUAGCAGUGAAAUGCGUAGAGAUCGGGAGGAACAUCCAUGGCGAAGGCAGCUACCUGGACCAACACUGACACUGAGGCACGAAAGCGUGGGGAGCAAACAGG